AUUGAACGCUGGCGGCAGGCUUAACACAUGCAAGUCGAGCGAGCGGCGGACGGGUGAGUCAUGUCUGGGAAACUGCCUGAUGGAGGGGGAUAACUACUGGAAACGGUAGCUAAUACCGCAUACCAUCAGAUGUGCCCAGAUGGGAUUAGCUAGUAGGUGGGGUUAUGGCUCGCCUAGGCGACGAUCCCUAGCUGGUCUGAGAGGAUGACCAGCCACCUUGGAACGGGGACGCGGUCCAGACGCCUACGGGAGGGAGCAGUGGGGAAUAUGGCGCAAUGGGGGCGAGCCUGAUGCAGCCAUGCCGCGUGUGUGAAGAAGGCCUUCGGGUUGUAAAGAACUUUCAGCGAGGAGGCGUUACUCGCAGAAGAAGCACCGGCUAACUCCGUGCCAGCAGCCGCGGUAAUUC
rnacentral:rRNA from 1 species